rnacentral:rRNA from 1 species
AGUCGAACGGUAACAUUUCUAGCUUGCUAGAAGAUGACGAGUGGCGGACGGGUGAGUAAUGCUUGGGAACUUGCCUUUGCGAGGGGGAUAACAGUUGGAAACGACUGCUAAUACCGCAUAAUGUGCUCUUGAAAAAGUGUACCAAACGGGGCUUCGGCUCCGGCGCAAAGAGAGGCCCAAGUGAGAUUAGCUAGUUGGUAAGGUAACGGCUUACCAAGGCGACGAUCUCUAGCUGUUCUGAGAGGAAGAUCAGCCACACUGGGACUGAGACACGGCCCAGACUCCUACGGGAGGCAGCAGUGGGGAAUAUUGCACAAUGGGGGAAACCCUGAUGCAGCCAUGCCGCGUGUGUGAAGAAGGCCUUCGGGUUGUAAAGCACUUUCAGUUGUGAGGAAAAGUUAGUAGUUAAUACCUGCUAGCCGUGACGUUAACAACAGAAGAAGCACCGGCUAACUCCGUGCCAGCAGCCGCGGUAAUACGGAGGGUGCGAGCGUUAAUCGGAAUUACUGGGCGUAAAGCGCACGCAGGCGGUUUGUUAAGCUAGAUGUGAAAGCCCCGGGCUCAACCUGGAUGGUCAUUUAGAACUGGCAGACUAGAGUCUUGGAGAGGGGAGUGGAAUUCCAGGUGUAGCGGUGAAAUGCGUAGAUAUCUGGAGGAAC